rnacentral:lncRNA from 1 species
AUGGGGAAUUGCCUAGGCCCCAGGGCUGGCCUCAUUUGUGCCUGGUGCCGGGAGGCAGUGGCAUCAUGUUGUGGGACUCAGUCUGUGGCAGCUACACCACCAGAAUCCACGACUGCAGAGCCUGCCAUUUUACAUCCCGGAGUGGUGGAGGUCCAGCACGUGCAGCCCAAGUCAAAGCGGCGCAAAGGUUUGGCUGGCCGUGUGAGGAGCUGGGUACAAAAACGGAGGCGUAAAAAAAAUUGCCCCACUGCAAAUGAAGCUCCUCUUCAAGACCCAAAGGAGUUUACACGUGAAAACCUUAAGGAGACAUCACCUGACAUAGAGAAGCCUGCAGCCCAGUAUCGCCACUGUGGUGUUCAGGUCUCAGAGGACCUCAUUUUGCAAGACAUGGAAGACCAUGAGCUACCCCGUGAUGUGGAGAAGCCCGCCGCUUGGUGUCACCGCCGUCCCGUUGAGGUCCCACAGGACCUCAUAUUAGAAGACAUUGAGGAUGAUGAGCUACCCCGUGAUGUGGAGAAGCCCGCCACUUGGUGUCACCGCCGUCCCGUUGAGGUCCCGCAGGACCUCAUACUAGAAGACAUUGAGGAUGAUGAGCUACCCCGUGAUGAGGAGAAGCCUGCAGCCCAGUAUUGCCACUGUGCUGUUCAGGUCCCAGAGGACCUCAUUUUGCAAGACAUGGAAGACCAUGAGCUACCCCGUGAUGUGGAGAAGCCAGCAGCUUGGUGUCACCGUCGUCCCGUUGAGGUCUCACAGGACCUCAUAUUUGAAGACAUUGAGGAUGAUGAGCUACCCCGUGAUGUGAAGAAGCCCGCCGUUUGGUGUUACCGCCGUCCCGUUGAGGUCCCGCAGGACCUCAUACUAGAAGACAUUGAGGAUGAUGAGCUACCUCGUGACGAGAAGAAGCCCGCCACUUGGUGUCACCGCCGUCCCGUUGAGGUCCGGCAGGACCUCAUACUAGAAGACAUUGAGGAUGAUGAGCUACCCCGUGACGAGGAGAAGCCCGCCGCUUGGUGUCACCGCCGUACGUAUUCUUUUUCUUUUAAACAGUUACCCAGAGGUAGUGCAUAUGCAAACAAAUUCACUUAUUUAAAGUAG